UACGUAGGGGGCAAGCGUUGUCCGGAUUUAUUGGGCGUAAAGAGCGUGUAGGCGGUCAGGUAGGUCCGUUGUGAAAACUCGAGGCUCAACCUCGAGACGCCGAUGGAAACCAUCUGACUAGAGUCCGGAAGAGGAGAGUGGAAUUCCUGGUGGUAGCGGUGAAAUGCGCAGAUAUCAGGAAGAACACCCGUGGCUAAGGCGGCUCUCUAGUACGGUACUGACGCUGAGACGCGAAAGCGUGGGAGCGAACAGG
rnacentral:rRNA from 1 species